UAGGGAAUCUUCCGCAAUGGACGAAAGUCUGACGGAGCAACGCCGCGUGAGUGAAGAAGGAUUUCGGUUCGUAAAACUCUGUUGUUAGGGAAGAAAAAAUGUAUAGUAACUAUAUACAAAAGAGACGGUACCUAACCAGAAAGCCACGGCUAACUACGUGCCAGCAGCCGCGGUAAUACGUAGGUGGCAAGCGUCGUCCGGAAUUAUUGGGCGUAAAGCGCGCGCAGGUGGUUUAGAAAGUCUGAUGUGAAAGCCCACGGCUCAACCGUGGAGGGUCAUUGGAAACUAAUAAACUUGAGUGCAGGAGAGAAAAGUGGAAUUCCUAGUGUAGCGGUGAAAUGCGUAGAGAUUAGGAGGAACACCGGUGGCGAAAGCGGCUUUUUGGCCUGCAACUGACACUGAGGCGCGAAAGCGUGGGGAGCAAACAGG
rnacentral:rRNA from 1 species